GGCCGGGCCGCCCAGAGCUCGCCAUUGGGCCUCACUCCCGGGGUCCCGAGCGCCGGCCAUGCUGAUUGGCCGCUGGGGCUUCAUUCACAGCCCCCCUACAGUCCGCAUACACACUCACGCCCCGGGGGCGCGGCCGCCACGUGGGGAGUGGCGCGGGGGUGGUACUGGGACCGCACCCCCUCUCGUCCUGGCUGCGUGGGCCCGCUUUCCCCGGUCUCUGGAGACUCCGAGCCCGGCGGGUCCCACGCUCCACGCGAGCAGAAUUCCCGCAGGUCUCCCGCCCGGGUGGCCAGAGGCGGUGGCGGGGAUGGCGGGCUCCGGGAGGCGCUCCGGCUCCGAGAAGCCGCUUAGCCCCGCGCUCCUCCCUCCGCAGUGCCGCCGCCGGCGGGCCGGGAUUCCCGCGGGUCUCGGCGGCCGCGAGCUGCAGGCGGCGCGGGUCCCCGGCUCGGUUGGUCACCUUGCCCGCCUCGCCUCCCACGGCUUCCAGCGGGCGCGGAGCUCUCCUCUGCGCGCCUCCCCGGCCCGUCUCGGUUUCCCUUCUUCGUCCUCUAGACCAUCCAGCGCAACUCCGUCGACCUCCGCGGCCCUGAGAGAGCAUCCGGCGCGGGCAGAGGCGUACCGGCCCGACCUCACGCCUCUCAUGGACUCUUCUCCAGGGUACCAUGGCCCAGGGAGUUCCUAGAAAACAGAAGGGACCCAGAAUCCUGACCUCGCCUUCUGUGGGACAGCAUGAGAUGUGGAGAUUGUGAGCUUGGAGAUCCAGCAUCUUUGUGAUCCUGGGAAAGUCCUUUGCCCUCUCUGGCCUGUUUCCUCCUGUGCAAAGGAAAGCAGUGGGCUUCACUGGUCCCCAGGAUUCCUUCACACUGAUUUCCCCACUGCGCCCCCCCACCUCGUCCCCCAACUCUGAGCCUUGCAGCAUCUUCUCAUCUUGAUCCUCUCCUGCCAUUUUUAGCCUCUGGGCAGAGACUCUGGCCAUGGUGCUGAAGAAGCCACAGCUUCUACAGCGGCUUGGAGACGAGCAAGGUAGCCAUCUAAGGAUUUGCGAGGGCAGAGGAAACUACCUGAAUUGAGCACCUACUAUGUGCCAGUCUCUUUGCCAUUCCUGUCGCGUGCUUUGUCACCUUGACUGAUGGAAGUAUACCCUUGGAGGAAGAGAUCUUCAGGGGGAAACAGUUUCAGGAGCUGUGGGUCCCAUACCUUCCAGGGAGCAGAAAGCUAUUCUCUUGACUUUGGAUUUCAAGUAGCCAUGGUUCCCAGAGAUGGUCCUGGGACAAUUAAGGGCAGCUGAGAAAACAGUGACAUGCAGAAAUGGUUGAUAAAGCUGUGAAGGAACGUCUGUUGGCAUUGGUUCUGAGCCUGCGGCCAGAGAUGAAUGAUUGAAACGCCAGGCUUGUUAAAGCGAGAGCACGUUUGAUUUCUCUGCCCUGCACUGCAUGCGAUUUCGCUGGAGGGAAGUUAGCAAUCAGCUAAUUGACAUUGAAUUAACCAUGAAACUCAGCCUGUGCCUUCUCUCUGAAUCGCUCUCCAGCAAGACUUUAUCAAGGCUUUGAAUUAUUGAUUAUUACUUAUAGCUCUGAUGGGGUGAUUUCCUUUUAUUUGUUUUCACAUUGGGUGUCCUUCAUAAGGGUCCCUGAGAGUGGGAGGCACCCAGACAGCAGAGCUUCUUACUGGAGGAGCUCAGGAAGGAGGGUUCUGGACACUCUACCCUGCCCCAGAGAAACAAACGUGUGUUUGUUAAACUGUGAAGCUUUUGCUUUUUUGUUGUUGCUGCUGUUCGUGUCGCGAAGCUUAGCCUAACCUGACUAAUAGGGGUUCUGAGGGCUGGUGUCCUUUCUGAUGCCUUAUGAUGCCAAGCUUAGAGUGUGAAUGAGCUGUGCUCCCUACCCUUGCUGUCUGAACUCUAUCUGUAAGGCAUACUAUUGUAUGUUUAUUUCAACUUCUUCAGAUACCUGAAGAAUCGAAGCAUCCAAAUCAAGUGGCUUUCUGGACUCUGCUUGCAUAUUCCUACAACAGGGAUUCACUCUUUCCUGUGGCAGCCUUUUCAAAAGUGCUCUGCUCUGACUGUGCCUCUGGGAAUUGUCUGUGUAACUUCCCUCGGACUGAGCUCUGCACCAAGGAGACCCACAGAGUAGUUUUUGUCCCAUGACAGUCCUUCAAGCAUCUGAAAUUCGAGAUUGGAGGUUUAUCCUCUUCCAGACCAAGAAUCUUUUCAACUCUUCCUCAGAGUAGACUUCAAAUCCUUUUUUCAACUUGGUCUCCUCUCUUUUUGGGAGUCCCCUCUGUCUGGGAGGUUCUGAAGAUACAAUGCCUAAAGUUGCAGAAUAGCAGUCUAGAUAAAGUUUGAAAGUGGCAUUGCUAAAUAGAACCAUCAGCUUCUUCUGGUUGGAUAUUAGACCUUUAAUGGUACAGCCCAGCUGGAUGAAUAAUUUCAUUCUAUGGCUGAGACAUUUGCUUCUUACUGAAUUCAUGUGCUGCCUGUAUUUCUAACUUCCUGUGUCCAUGCAAGGCCAUGUGACCGAUCUGGCCAGGGGUCCGUGAACUGAAGUUACAUGUGACACUCUGGAGUGAAACAUUUAAGAGCCAGUGAAUGACAUUUCUUUUUCCUGGCCACGGAGACUUGGAAGCCAUGUGUUCCAGAUGGCAUUGCUAUAGGACACAGGAAGCCUGGAUCCCUGAGUCACUAGUGGAGAGGGAGUGGACAUGAAGAGUUCCUGGGCCCAUGGUGGACUUUGCGUAAGCCAAAAUAAACUCGAAUGUGUUAAGUUGCUGACA
rnacentral:lncRNA from 1 species